AUUUAUUUUCUAUCUUUCAUAACCUCUCUUAAUAUCUUGUAAUCAUGAUCCUGAAAACUCAAUAAAUCCCUCUUUAAACCCACAAACCGACUCCUAGAGUCCUGAUUCUCUGAUUCACCCAUAUAGUGGCAACCCCAAUCAUCAUUUUAGAGAAUGUUAAAUACAUUCAUAAAGCAGAGAAUAAUAACCACACCAUUCUGAAACCUAUAGUUUAAUUAUUGGUAUCAAUAAACCCACGAUAUUUUAUUGUCGCAAUAUCUCAUCUAAAAAUGUGGAGAAAUCAAAGCUUAACCCAUCCUUUGUCAAUCAGAUUAAAUAUUAGAACUUAAUUCUACACUCAUCAAAAAAAGAAAAUGAAAAGGGAGAGAAUUUGAAACACAAUGUUACAGUUUGGAUUUUCUUGAUAUGCGUUUGAUAUGUAACUCAAACUAACAUCGGAAACAGCCCCGAGCUAGGAUCUUCCAAUAGAAAAGACCCCAAGCCCAGUUCCAAGAAAAUGACCAGACUAGUUACAAGAGCUAGUAAUGAUGUAUAUACACAAUUGCGCCUAAACUCAUUCACCUGCACACAAUGUCCCCGCACACCAACAGGGGCACCUACAUGUGUGCCUGAAAAUGUAAACAUAUAUGCAUCAAAGCUGCUAAAAGUUAAUCAUUCAUGUGAUACCAGAUAUACUACAUCAAAUUCAACUAAAACCUACCUCUUAUACUAAUAUGCAGUUUAGACAUUUAAACAAACAGUUUGUAGGUACAGAAGAUAAGCAAACACCAUAGAUCAAAACAACGCAGGCAACCAAAAAGAGAAGCCCCUAAUCAAAUCUACCAUUAAAAAAAAGUAGUAAGAUCCACUCAAAUUGGCCAAGACCAUGAACCAAUGCUCCAUACAAGGUACUGACCGCAAAGAUACAAACACGAUGAAAACCCAUAAGAACCUAAAAGAAAACAGGAAAUUUACCGACCGGGAUGUUGUGGAAGGAACUUGCAAAAUUAGAGCGAGGAACUGAAAGCUGGGAGAAAAGAAGGCAGAAAGAUGGAGAGAGAAGGAGGUGCUAGUGAAAAAGCCAUCAUGAAUAGUGAUUUGGAUUGAUUAUUGGCUCAAAGACAUAAAGAUCUAGCAAAAAAAUGCCAUGUUCCAUCUCAUGAAGCAAAAAUACAAACACAGAUUAUGAUUCAAAUUCCAACAAUUUUUCGCCACUCAGUUCUCAAUUACCAUAAUUCAAAAACAACGAUAAAGAACCCAAAACGAUAUAAAGGGUAAACAAGUUCGUAUAACAGCAAAAAAGAUUAUCGUUUUCGCUUCUGCUCAUCAGCACCCAAAUGAAGAGUAACAAGAGAACCGCUAAUAAACCCUAGGAAAUCAGAGCUAGUUUAAAAGAGAAGCAAAAGGAGAUUAGAGAAAGGAACCUGUGAGAAGGAAAUUGAACUUCUGUCGAUAGGGUUUGGAGUGAAUGAGGAAAAGAAAAACAGAGAAGGGUUUUAUAUAGUUCCUAUUGACUUGAAUGAUUGUGAAUGUUAGUCGAGAAAAGGAGAAGGUGAAGGAAACAAAAAUUGUGUGUCAAUAAAACUUCACAAAAUAGGAACGAUAUAUAUAUAUAUAUCAUUUUUUUAUUUCCUGACCAAAAUCAUCAAGUAAUUGAAUGUAUCUGCAUAUUUUAAUUUUGGUUCUGAAAUUUCAUUUGUAAUUUAUAUUAAUCAACUGAAAACGGAACGAUAUUAAUUUUAUACGCCAUCUUAGCUCAUGCAAAUAACGUUCUCCUAUUCCACCAUUACAGCUCACACAACUAUAUCUUCCCAAUUAAUUAACAAUUUUUUUUUUUUU
rnacentral:lncRNA from 1 species